rnacentral:rRNA from 1 species
UACGUAGGGUCCGAGCGUUGUCCGGAAUCAUUGGGCGUAAAGAGCGUGUAGACGGCCAGGUAGGUCUGCUGUGAAAACUCGAGGCUUAACCUCGAGAUGUCGGCGGAAACCAUCUGGCUAGAGUCCGGAAGAGGAGAAUGGAAUUCCUGGUGUAGCGGUGAAAUGCGCAGAUAUCAGGAAGAACACCCGUGGCGAAGGCGGUUCUCUGGGACGGUACUGACGCUGAGACGCGAAAGCGUGGGGAGCGAACAGG